rnacentral:rRNA from 1 species
UACGGGGGGGGGCAAGCGUUGUUCGGAAUUACUGGGCGUAAAGGGCUCGUAGGCGGCCAACUAAGUCAUACGUGAAAUCCCUCGGCUUAACCGGGGAACUGCGUCUGAUACUGGAUGGCUUGAGAUUGGGAGAGGGAUGCGGAAUUCCAGGUGUAGCGGUGAAAUGCGUAGAUAUCUGGAGGAACACCGGUGGCGAAGGCGGCAUCCUGGACCAACACUGACGCUGAGGAGCGAAAGCCAGGGGAGCAAACAGG